AUUGAACGCUGGCGGCAGGCCUAACACAUGCAAGUCGAACGAGUGGCGGACGGGUGAGUAAUGUCUGGGAAACUGCCCGAUGGAGGGGGAUAACUACUGGAAACGGUAGCUAAUACCGCAUACCAUCGGAUGUGCCCAGAUGGGAUUAGCUAGUAGGUGGGGUAACGGCUCACCUAGGCGACGAUCCCUAGCUGGUCUGAGAGGAUGACCAGCCACACUGGAACUGAGACACGGUCCAGACUCCUACGGGAGGCAGCAGUGGGGAAUAUUGGACAAUGGGCGAAAGCCUGAUGCAGCCAUGCCGCGUGUGUGAAGAAGGUCUUCGGAUUGUAAAGCACUUUAAGUGGGGAGGCGUUACCAGCAGAAGAAGCACCGGCUAACUCCGUGCCAGCAGCCGCGGUAAUAC
rnacentral:rRNA from 1 species